rnacentral:rRNA from 1 species
UACGGAGGGUGCAAGCGUUGUUCGGAAUUAUUGGGCGUAAAGCGCGUGUAGGCGGACAGUUAAGUCCGGUGUGAAAUCCCUCGGCUCAACUGGGGAGGGUCACGCGAUACUGAUCGACUCGAAGGCAGGAGAGGGAAGUGGAAUUCCCGGUGUAGUGGUGAAAUGCGUAGAUAUCGGGAGGAACACCAGUGGCGAAGGCGACUUCCUGGCCUGUUCUUGACGCUGAGGCGCGAAAGCUAGGGGAGCAAACGGG